UAGCUGUUACGGCCUGAAAGCCUGUGUGCCCCCGAAAUUCCUAGGUUGAAUACUUAACCCCCAUUGUGAUGGCAAGAGGAAGUAUUGUCUUUGUGAUGUGAUUCAGUUUACAUGAGGUCAUGAAUGUGGAGCCCUCAUGAUGGACUUCGUGACCUUUGGAGAAAAAAGGAGAGGCCUGAGCCCUUCCUCUCUCCACGAGGUGAGAAGAUGGCCAUAUGAAACCUGGAAGUGGUUUCACCAGUCACUGAAUCUGUUGCCGGCGUGGUGUUGGCCUUCCCAGCUUCCAGACUGUAUGAAACAAACGUCUGGUGUUUGAGCCACUGUCUGUGAUGUUUUGCUAUGGCAGGUGUGGCACACCAAGAUGGUAACCGAUGCAUCAGUCUCUAUUCAAUGAACGUUGGGCUGCUGAAUAUGUAAUGGCCUCACCCACGCUCUGGCUGAAGAACAGACCUCAAGACGAACAACUACAAGCGUUGCGGAAGAAGCCUCCGCUUGGACUGGGGACGUGCACGCUGGAGACACGGGUGGCAGCUACUCGUAUGGCCGAUCCGCCCACGAGAGACUCGUGUUCGCUGCUUCUGUGACCCCAGCCGCCUUGCUCAGGGGACCAGCAGAGAGGCUCACUUCCUUGUGUGGCUGACAGUAAGCAUCCGAUGUGGAGCCAAACUAUAAAAUACUAUCAAACUAUAAAUAGACCCAUACAGGUCCUUUUUACAGAACUCUCAGCACUUUUAUUCAUUAAGAUUCAGAUGCUAUGGAGGGUACAGACGCACCCUCCCCUCCUGGAUCCCAAAUAAAAUACCCUGUAUGGAAACAGA